rnacentral:tRNA from 1 species
UGGCCGGUCGCCAAGUGGUAAGGCACCGGGUUUUGAUCCCGGCACCCGCAGGUUCGAAUCCUGCCCGGCCAA